rnacentral:rRNA from 1 species
ACAUGCAAGUCGAGCGAGGUACUUGUACCUAGCGGCAGACGGGUGCGUAACAAGUGGGAAUCUGCCUUUUGGUUCGGAACAACAUGGGGAAACCUGUGCUAAUACCGGAUAAGUCCUUACGGAGAAAGAUUUAUCGCCGAAAGAUGAGCCCGCACUAGAUUAGCUUGUUGGUAAGGUAAAAGCUUACCAAGGCUACGAUCUAUAGCUGAUUUGAGAGGAUGAUCAGCCACACUGGGACUGAGACACGGCCCAGACUCCUACGGGAGGCAGCAGUGGGGAAUCUUGCACAAUGGAGGAAACUCUGAUGCAGCGAUGCCGCGUGAGUGAAGAAGGCCCUUGGGUUGUAAAGCUCUUUUGUCGGGAAAGAUAAUGACUGUACCCGAAGAAUAAGGUCCGGCUAACUUCGUGCCAGCAGCCGCGGUAAUACGAAGGGACCUAGCGUAAUUCGGAAUUACUGGGCGUAAAGCGCGCGUAGGCGGUUAAGUAAGUUAAUUGUGAAAGCCCAAAGCUCAACUUUGGAAUUGCAAUUAAAACUAUUUAGCUAGAGUUUAUCAGAGGAAAGCGGAAUACAUAGUGUAGAGGUGAAAUUCGUAGAUAUUAUGUAGAACACCAGUUGCGAAGGCGGCUUUCUGGGAUAACACUGACGCUGAGGUGCGAAAGUAUGGGUAGCGAAGAGGAUUAGAUACCCUCGUAGUCCAUACCGUAAACGAUGAUUGUUAGAUGUUGGAAAUUUAUUUUCAGUAUCACAGCUAACGCGUUAAACAAUCCGCCUGGGGAGUACGACCGCAAGGUUAAAACUCAAAUGAAUUGACGGGGACCCGCACAAGCGGUGGAGCAUGUGGUUUAAUUCGAAGCUACGCGCAGAACCUUACCAACACUUGACAUGUCUGUCGCGGAUUCCAGAGAUGGAUUCCUUCGGUUCGGCCGGACAGAACACAGGUGC